rnacentral:lncRNA from 1 species
GAAGGAGAAGAACCCAGGCCAAUCGGCUGCCAUAGGUGGAGGUUCAGUUCAGGUAUAUUUCAUCUGGUUUUGUUAAUUCGAAAAGUUGUUACAAAUAUCAUAGAAUACUCCAACUUGGUUAAAUGCAAAUAUAAUGUAGACAAACCAGAGUUCUUGGAGAUCUUGGUCGGACUCUUCACUGGUAUUCAAAUUCCAUUUGGUACAGGGUUGUCAACUUCUGUCUGUAGCCGCGGUUGAUCGUAGACCACAGAACAAGCAAAAUCCAGUUGCCCAAAAGAAAAGGGCACAUUUCUACACAAG